rnacentral:tRNA from 5 species
GCGCCCGUAGCUCAGUGGAUAGAGCAACCGCCUUCUAAGCGGUAGGUCAAAUGUUCGAAUCAUUUCGGGCGCGCCA